rnacentral:rRNA from 1 species
GAUGAACGCUGGCGGCGUGCUUAACACAUGCAAGUCGAGCGAGAAGUUUUGAAGAGAUUCUUCGGAUGAAAUUUAAAAUGGAAAGCGGCGGACGGGUGAGUAACGCGUAGGCAUCCUGCCGCAUACAAAGGGAUAGCAUUUGGAAACGAAUAUUAAUACCUUAUGGAACUUAACUAGUGCAUGCUAGGUAGGUCAAAGAUUUAUCGGCGUGGGAUGGGCCUGCGUAUGAUUAGCUAGUUGGUGAGGUAACGGCUCACUAAGAGGACGAUCAGUAGCCGUCGAGCUGAGACACGGGCCCAACUUGGAAGGGAGGCACGAGUCAAAAAUCUUCGGCAAGGAGCGGUAGCGAGAUUUGGACAAAGGGCGAGAGCGUAAAGGAGCAUCGCGGCGUGAAGGACUAAUGUCGUUGGAGCAAAGAGGCCUGUUAAAGGCGAGGAGUACUGACAGUAACCAAGGAGAAAGCCCCGGCUAACUUCGUG